GGAGAUUUAGCUCAGUGGUAGAGCGCUUGCCUAGCAAGUACAAGGCCCUGGGUUCGGUCCCCAGCUCCG
rnacentral:tRNA from 1 species